rnacentral:rRNA from 1 species
CCUACGGGAGGCAGCAGUAGGGAAUAUUGCACAAUGGGGGAAACCCUGAAGCAGCAACGCCGCGUGGAGGAUGAAGGUUUUCGGAUUGUAAACUCCUUUUGUCAGAGAAGAUAAUGACGGUUUCUAACGAAUAAAGACCGGCUAACUUCGGUCCAGCAGCCGCGGGUAAACGGAGGGUGCCGGCGUUCAUCGGAAUCCCUGGGCGUAAAGAGAGGGGAGGCGGGAUAGCAAGUCAGAGGUGAAAGCCUAUGGCUUAACCAUGGGACUGCCUUUGGAACUGGAAUUCUGGAGGGUGGGAGGGGCAGGUGGAAUUCCUGGUGUAGGGGUAAAAUGCGUAGAGAUCAGGAGGAAUA